UACGGGGGGAGCAAGCGUUGUUCGGAUUUACUGGGCGUAAAGGGCGCGUAGGCGGUCGUGACAAGUCACUUGUGAAAUCUCCGGGCUUAACUCGGAACGGUCAAGUGAUACUGUCGGACUAGAGUACAGAAGGGGCAACUGGAAUUCUCGGUGUAGCGGUGGAAUGCGUAGAUACCAGGAGGAACACCAACGGCGAAGGCAGAUUGCUGGACAGAAGGUGACGCUGAGGCGCGAAAGUGUGGGGAGCGAACCGG
rnacentral:rRNA from 1 species